UCACUUCACUGCUAUGGGCACUCACCCCAUGACCUGGGGUGGAGCGUUCCUGUUUGAGGAACAGCGAUCCGUGUGACACCCGGGGUGCCGCGGGUUCGGGGACAGCGCUGUUGGUGGGUGUCACUCCUCAGAAGUGACCAGUGUGGCUGAGAGGGACAACCCUACGUGCAAGACUUCAAAUACAACACUAGAUCAACAUCCCUCUUCGGUUGUUUGAAAGCAUUCACAAAAAGCAGGCGUGUUCCUGAGUGACUUCACUUACCGAGGAUGGAGGAGUUGUCGGAAUAGGGGUAACCAGAAUUAUCCUGGAUUUGCCCAGACAGCAAUCCAGCUGAAGAAAUGUCUGGAGUGCCACCAUUCAAGAUCUUGAAAGAAAAAAAAACAGAAGCUAUAAACCAGCAUGAAAUGUUGCAGAUGAGCUGCUCCCAAGGCACGGCUGCCAAUAAUUUCCUCAGCACAGGAGUUACCUUCUCCAGCCUGG